CAUUGGUGAGAAUCCAAUGCCCCGAAAACCCAAGGUUUCCUCCGCAAGGUUCGUCCAUGGAGGGUGAGUCAGGGCCUAAGAUUAGGCCGAAAGGCGUAGUCGAUGGACAACAGGAGGAAGGGUUAAGGAUUUACCCGGUGUGAGAUAUCGCAUUAUUCGAGGAACCCUAGAUGUUGUCGCAGUAAAGAAUCGUCAACAAGGGCGUUCUUUAACAACUCAGUUAAAGGCCUGCUGAUAGCUCCAUACCCCGGUACAAACCUCCUGUAAUAACCCCUGCAACCCUCGGAGUUCUCUGACAAUCCAAUUGCAUUUUUCUUAGUUUAGAAUAUCAAAAGACAUCCCACAACCCGGUCUUAGGUG
rnacentral:ncRNA from 1 species